UGUCAUCUGAUUUUCACGUAUAUCCAUUUGGUGUCAAAGCUGUCAAUCACGCCGCAUAUCUUCCGCCUGUGAAGCAUCUCGCAGGUCUCGUAAAGUUUCAUCGAAGCUCAGCACUGGAUAUAGCCGAAUAAACAUGACAAUGACUUUCCUUCAUCGAGGUAAACGUUUCCCCCGGAUGCCAGACGAACAUCUAGGAGUGACUUAAUUACGGUAGGACUGUGCAAACAAAGUAUCUGUCUAGCAUUGGUGUUAUUUACGCUGGGGACAUCCCACCGCUUUUUGAAAGCAUUUGGUUAAAAUGUUCUGAAAAAUCAAGCGAUGCUUAAGACUGGUUUUGUGGUCUAGUUUCACAUAUGUUGUGUUGUAUGUGUAACCCACAGUUCAAAUAGAAACAUAAAUAAUAUUAGUGAAAUAAAUAAUAUAUAUAAUAAUAUAUAAUAUAAUUAAUAAAUAGCAAUAAAUAGAUAAAUACGUUAUUUAGAAACCACACUAUAUAUUAAAAUAUUGAUUUUGUAAAAGUUUUAAUUCUUUUAAUGAUGUUGAACCAUCCCUUUAGUUUAAUAUCACUCUGCCCCUUUAAGACACUUUCACAGUUAUGCACGAGCUGUUUUGUUUUGUUUUUUAACAUUAACGGCAGACGCUAACGGAAAUCGAUAAGAUACACACGGAAUCCAGACACCUUUAACUAAACUCCAAAAUUAGGCUUAUUUAACACUUCUAAUAUUUUGUUCAUCAAAAAUCAACCCUAUAACAUCUUAGCGGUGGUUUUGAGGAGUGUUUUGAAGACGGUUUUGGCCAGGUUUUUUUCCCCUACACGGAAAAGUUUGUGGACAGCUCGACGCCGGAUCGGACCUUUGGAUAAUCAGCGUAUUGCGAGACAGCAUACGAAUGAACAGAUAUUUCAACUGGAUACUAGAUGGCGAGCCAACCCAAGGAUCUCUAACCUGCAAGAACUGAAACACCGCAUUCUGAUCGCUUACACGGUUUGACCUGAACAAAGUGAACCACUGAGCUAUAUUCUUUUAAUCACAUUGGACAUUGACCUUUGAACACAUCGAAUUGGACGGAUCCUCUGAACUGAAAUUCUGAAAUUGCAACACAAUAAUUUAGAUUUAUUGAAUAGAGAAAUUGGUGAAUAGGUGAAUGUAUGAAUGAAAAUUGGUUGAUGUAUUGUAUUUUUUUUUUCUUUUAUGUUUUCUGUUAAAGUGAGACUCCAAAGUGUA